UGCCCAGCAACUCCUAUCCCUGCCUCCUCGUGAUACCGGCCGGAAACUACGAGCAACCUUAGGGAAGAUCGGGUAACCAACCCCGGUGGGAACUUUGGUCGUAGGCUGACAGGGGAGG
rnacentral:ribozyme from 1 species